rnacentral:rRNA from 1 species
CCUACGGGUGGCAGCAGUGGGGAAUAUUGGGCAAUGGGCGCAAGCCUGACCCAGCAACGCCGCGUGAAGGAAGAAGGCUUUCGGGUUGUAAACUUCUUUUUAGAGGGAAGAGCAGAAGACGGUACCUCUUGAAUAAGCCAUGGCUAACUACGUGCCAGCAGCCGCGGUAAUACGUAGGUGGCAAGCGUUGUCCGGAUUUACUGGGUGUAAAGGGCGUGUAGGCGGGCUGACAAGUCAGAUGUGAAAUUCCGGGGCUCAACCCCGGAACUGCAUUUGAAACUGUUGGUCUUGAGUAUCGGAGAGGCAGGCGGAAUGCCUGGUGUAGCGGUGAAAUGCGUAGAUAUUAGGAAGAACACCAGUUGCGAAGGCAGCCUGCUAGACGACAACUGACGGUGAGGCGCGAAAGCGUGGGGAGCAAACAGGAUUAGAUACCCCUGUAGUC